rnacentral:rRNA from 1 species
UACAGAGGUCCCAAGCGUUGUUCGGAAUCACUGGGCGUAAAGGGUGCGUAGGCGGCGCGGAAAGUCAGGGGUGAAAUCCCGGAGCUCAACUCCGGAACUGCCUUUGAUACUCCCGCGCUUGAGAACUGGAGGGGAGACCGGAAUUCACGGUGGAGCAGUGAAAUGCGCAGAUAUCAGGAAGAACACCCGUGGCGAAAGCGGCUCUCUGGAACGGUACUGACGCUGAGACGCGAAAGCGUGGGGAGCGAACAGG